AACGAACGCUGGCGGCAGGCCUCAAACAUGCAAGUCUAGGGGGUAGCAAUACCACCGGCGGACGGGUGCGUAACGCGUGGGAACAUACCUUUCGGUACGGAACAACUGCGGGAAACUGCAGCUAAUACCGUAUACGCCCUUACGGGGAAAGAUUUAUCGCCGAAGGAUUGGCCCGCGUUCGAUUAGCUAGUUGGUGAGGUAACGGCUCACCAAGGCUACGAUCGAUAGCUGUUCUGAGAGGAAGAUCAGC
rnacentral:rRNA from 1 species